CCGGGAAAGCCAGCAGCCUCCCGGUCCUCGUUGUUACUCUUCAGUGCUGGAAAUAAUCAUUAUGAGGGAGCGGCUGACACGGUGAAAGGCAGAGCCUCAGUCCGGAGGGACCUCUCUAAAUGGGAGUACUGGACCACCAGGAUGCUCACAAAGCCCAGCAAGUAGAAGUGCCAGUGGUGCCUGGUGCACAGAGAGUUUCCUGGAUGUUACUUGAAACAGGAUAAUCACUUACUCAUGUGCAACCAACGACCACAUGGAAGCCGCUCACAAAAGAAGCCACAGCUUUUGUUAACAAAGGAACUCCUUUCUGUUUUAUUUUUCCAACCAAAAUUCCCAAAACAAAGUAAUUAAAUUUCUCCCUUUGUUCUGG